UACGAGGGGGGCAAGCGUUGUUCGGAAUUAUUGGGCGUAAAGGGUGCGUAGGCGGUUUGAUAAGUCAUCUGUGAAAUCUCUGGGCUCAACCCAGAGUCUGCAGGCGAAACUGUCGGGGCUUGAGUAUGGGAGAGGUGAGUGGAAUUUCCGGUGUAGCGGUGAAAUGCGUAGAUAUCGGGGAGGAACACCAGUGGCGGAAGGCGGUUGCC
rnacentral:rRNA from 1 species